AGGUGGAUUCCUUACCAACUGAGCUAUGAGGGAAGCCCUGUGCUUUACAAGUGUGCCAGGGAAAUGACGUGUGAUCAGCAGGACAGAUUAUUCUUCUGUGACUAUUAAAAAUACUAAAGUGAGAAAUCUGCAGCUUGAAAUAGAAAAGAAACAAAUGUAAUCAGUGUUCUCAUAGCAACAAAUGCUAGAACCAUUGUGCUUACCCAUGAACUGUCACAGUGGUAUUGAGAUGCUAGGGUAAUACAAGUGGCAGUAAGUGGUGACUACCCUUGUUUUGUUAGAAAUUUUCUUCUGUAGCUAACCAUUUUCUCCCUCUUUAACCUUGUCCAAAUAUAAUAUAUCCUUUCCAUGUCAGUGUAUUUUAAAGUUUUCAAGAUAAUUUCUAAAACCUGAAAAUUCUAUU